GAUGAACGCUGGCGGCGUGCCUAAUACAUGCAAGUCGAGCGAACAGAUGAGGAGCUUGCUCCUCUGACGUUAUCGGCGGACGGGUGAGUAACACGUGGAUAACCUACCUAUAAGACUGGGAUAACUUCGGGAAACCGGAGCUAAUACCGGAUAAUAUAUUGAACCGCAUGGUUCAAUAGUGAAAGACGGUUUUGCUGUCACUUAUAGAUGGAUCCGCGCCGCAUUAGCUAGUUGGUAAGGUAACGGCUUACCAAGGCAACGAUGCGUAGCCGACCUGAGAGGGUGAUCGGCCACACUGGAACUGAGACACGGUCCAGACUCCUACGGGAGGCAGCAGUAGGGAAUCUUCCGCAAUGGGCGAAAGCCUGACGGAGCAACGCCGCGUGAGUGAUGAAGGUCUUCGGAUCGUAAAACUAUGUUAUUAGGGAAGAACAAAUGUGUAAGUAACUAUGCACGUCUUGACGGUACCUAAUCAGAAAGCCACGGCUAACUACGUG
rnacentral:rRNA from 1 species